UCUUCCCUACGCCGGGCGAGCCCUAGAAUUGUUCGGAAGGAAAAGAGCAAGCAGGGGGCGUGGUGUAGGGAGUGGGGCGGGGCUACGGAGCGGCCUGGCUUAAAUAUUGUUUCACCUUUUGGCGCCAAAUGAUUGGUAUUCAUACUUACUCAAGCCAGUUGUUUCCCUGACUAGACCUCCAGUACAAUGCUGAAUAGAAGUGGCAAGAGUAGAGAACCAUCUCUUGUUCCUGUUCUUGGAAGGAAACCAUUCCGUUUUCAUCAUUAAGUAUAAUGAGAUGAGUACCCUGCUGAAUUAUACCGAGUAGAGGAAUCUUCGCUGAGAGGCAGUCUAGCAUGGUGGGGACUGCAGACCAAAGCAUGGAAGAGUGAAGGUUCUAAAGUCAGAUGUCCUGGCCAUGAAUCCUGCGUCUCCCAAUUAAUAACCCGAGAC